rnacentral:rRNA from 1 species
GAAAUGACUCUCGGCAACGGAUAUCUCGGCUCUUGUCACGAUGAAGAACGUAGCGAAAUGCGAUACUUAGUGUGAAUUGCAGAAUCCCGUGAAUCAUCGAGUUUUUGAACGCAAUUUGCGCCCGAGRCCUCGGUCGAGGGCACGUCUGUCUGGGCGUCGCAU